UGGGGAAUAUUGGACAAUGGGCGAAAGCCUGAUCCAGCCAUGCCGCGUGUGUGAAGAAGGUCUUCGGAUUGUAAAGCACUUUAAGUUGGGAGGAAGGGCAUUAACCUAAUACGUUAGUGUUUUGACGUUACCGACAGAAUAAGCACCGGCUAACUCUGUGCCAGCAGCCGCGGUAAUACAGAGGGUGCAAGCGUUAAUCGGAAUUACUGGGCGUAAAGCGCGCGUAGGUGGUUUGUUAAGUUGGAUGGGAAAGCCCCGGGCUCAACCUGGGAACUGCAUCCAAAACUGGCAAGCUAGAGUACGGUAGAGGGUGGUGGAAUUUCCUGUGUAGCGGUGAAAUGCGUAGAUAUAGGAAGGAACACCAGUGGCGAAGGCGACCACCUGGACUGAUACUGACACUGAGGUGCGAAAGCGUGGGGAGCAAACA
rnacentral:rRNA from 1 species